rnacentral:rRNA from 1 species
CCUACGGGGUGGCAGCAGUGGGGAAUAUUGGACAAUGGGCGAAAGCCUGAUCCAGCCAUGCCGCGUGUGUGAAGAAGGCCUUCGGGUUGUAAAGCACUUUCAGUGGGGAAGAAAGCCUUGGGGCUAAUACCCUCGAGGAAGGACAUCACCCACAGAAGAAGCACCGGCUAACUCCGUGCCAGCAGCCGCGGUAAUACGGAGGGUGCGAGCGUUAAUCGGAAUUACUGGGCGUAAAGCGCGCGUAGGCGGUCUGAUAAGCCGGUUGUGAAAGCCCCGGGCUCAACCUGGGAACGGCAUCCGGAACUGUCAGGCUAGGGUGCAGGAGAGGAGGGUAGAAUUCCCGGUGUAGCGGUGAAAUGCGUAGAGAUCGGGAGGAAUACCAGUGGCGAAGGCGGCCUUCUGGACUGACACUGACGCUGAGGUGCGAAAGCGUGGGUAGCAAACAGGAUUAGAUACCCUGUAGUC